rnacentral:pre_miRNA from 1 species
UGAAUUGUGUAUAACGCUGAUAAAUUCAUCCUUAAUUUGUGUUAUGUAGACUCUUUCAUUAACAGUAACAGAUAGAAGUUAACGGAUGAAUGAAUUUGUCACACUUUUUU